rnacentral:tRNA from 2 species
GGCGACGUACCCAAGUGGUUUAAGGGAUCGGUUUGCAAAACCGCUAUUCGUCAGUUCGAAUCUGACCGUCGCCUCAA